rnacentral:lncRNA from 1 species
CCUUUACUCCAUUUGCUCAAAGAAGCACUAACCCAGGAACCAUCUAACCAUCUAUUCACUCAGUAGAUACUCCUUGAACUCCUACUAUGUGCUAUGGAGGAGCAGUUGUGAACCAGAGGGAAGCCCCUGCUCUCGUGAAGCCUGCAUUCCAGUGGGAAUGAUGAAACGCAGGCACACGGGACAUUUCAGGGAAGCACGGCUGGCACGUUCUUCCGUUUGGAGACAUGGUUGACAAUUUCUCCAUAAUGGGGACACAACUGGCAAUUUUCCUACAGAGUGAGGCAGAUGGCAAUUUUCCUUCAGAGACAUGCAGGCAACAGUUUUGCCCCUGGAGAGAAAAGCCUCGCCGAUUGAGAUGCAGCCAGUAAUUUUUACUAUACAGAAGACACAUCCAAUAAUUUUGCCCAGUGAGAGAAACGGCCAACAAUUUUCCCACAGAGGACAGGAAAAACAGACCAAAAAUUCAUAGUGGGGAGAAGUGAGGAGCAAAUGGGCUGGUAUGACCAAGAAAGACUUAAUAAGAAGCUGAGCCUUAAAUGAUCAAGAAGCACUGGAUAGAUAAGAGGAAUAAUCAUUUAUUAGCCAAGCGGGACUGGUGCCUUUUUGAGAACUGUCAUUCUGGAAAGAUAUUGAUUGAAGGAGGCCUCUGAGCACAUUCUCUCCAGCAGGCAGCCGUAAGGGAGGCGGCUGCAGUCCAGACAAGAUGAUGAGUUGGCAGUGAGCAUCUCGACAGGAGCCUAAUGAAGAAAUCUGGUAACAGCGAGGGCUGGCUUUAUGAGCGCUCAUAUUUGGUCUUUCACUCUCUGCAAGGUUGGUGAGUGGCAAAAGUGUCCAUGGGCCUCUACCUCCCACUGUGGAAUUACACAUUCCUACAGCCAGUGGGCUCCGGGAACCCAAUGGCAGCAUCCCCAGGCCCCUGGGCCCACUCCACACAUCACAGGCUAGAGACUUCUUGUCUGCCUCCUUUCUCACGUCUCUCCCCCUGAGAUAGCAUGCUCUCCCCUCCCUCCUUCCCUCUCAUAAUUUGUUCCCAACAGGUAGCUUUGUGCAGUUACUCCAAGAGAAGCCCGAACUCCCUGGGGAGCCUCUGCCCAGGUGGAAGAGCUCUCGAGUGGCUAUUAUUAGGGGUGAUUGCUGGGAAGCUGGUUGCCAUGGCACCGCAGAGGCCAGUGCUGAACUCCCAAGCUGCCCCGUUUCCAAGGCUGUCUACAUAAUCACUGCAAUGAGAGGCACAGGCACAGAAAGGGAGAGAGGAGCAGCUCCCCACUGACAGUGAUCUCCCUGCAGAGCAAGGUGAGCAGUUCACAGCUGAGUACGACAGCCCAUCUUGGCAUGGGCCAAGCACUGCCUGGAGGGACCCUGGUGUGAGCUGGUCACUGCUUCACUGUCUUCUCAUGGAUCAGGCAGUCUGCCUCUGUGUUCCCAGUACUGGUUUUCUACAGGAAAACACUGCUCCUAAUCCACUGAUCCAUUUCUUAAAGGUUCCUGGAGUUUGCAAACAUCGAGUAGUGAUAGUCUUCCA